CUGCUGCUUGGGGAGUACGGUCGCAAGACUGAAACUUAAAGGAAUUGGCGGGAGAGCACAGCAACGGGAGGAGCGUGCGGUUUAAUUGGAUUCAACGCCGGAAAACUCACCAGGGGCGGCUGUUACAUGAAGGCCAAGCUGAUGACUUUGCCUGAUUUUCAGAGAGGUGGUGCAUGGCCGCCGUCAGUUCGUACCGUGAGGCGUUCUCUUAAGUGAGAUAACGAACGAGACCCUCGCCUCUAUUUGCCAUCCUUCUCCUCGGAGAUGGAGCACUAUAGAGGGACCGCUGGCGCUAAGUCAGAGGAAGGAGAGGUCAACGGUAGGUCAGUAUGCCCCGAAUCUCCUGGGCCACACGCGCGCUACAAAGGACGGGACAAUGGGCUGCAACACCGAGAGGUGAAGCCAAUCCCGAAACCCGUUCGUAGUCCGGACUGAGGGUUGUAACUCACCCUCACGAAGCUGGAUUCCGUAGUAAUCGCGGAUCAACAUCCCGCGGUGAAUGUGCCCCUGCUCUUUGCAUACACCGCCCGUCAAACCAUCCGAGUUGGGUCUGGAUGAGGGU
rnacentral:rRNA from 1 species